UAUGGAAGAAUUAGUUUCAUUCCCUUCACUUUUCAGAAAGUGAGCGCCGACCCCCCACCCCCACUUCCCACUCCCACUUCCUCUCUCAAGUUCUCCACACCUCCUUGUUCCGACGCCCACCUCGCUACCUCCGGCGCCCCAAUCGCCGAGCCCUCCCGGACUCCAUCUCUCUCGUUGCUUCUUCUCUCUUGCCCUCCCAUUGCCGCUCGUUCCUCUCCUCGAUAACAUCCAACACCGUACAUCGCCGCCUCCGCUUCCCCAUAGCCGUCGCGCAUUUAGAGUGUUUGUUCAAAGAAAAGACAAUAUGAUCCGAUUGAUUAUGAGUGUAUUGACAAAGUAGAGUUUUGGGUGAUUGAUGAAGAUGCUAAUGAAGAGCUUGAUUAUGAGGAGUUGGAGGAAAUGUUAGAUGAAGAACAAGCAAAAGGUGAUGAAGAUGAUAUAAUGGGGAUUAAUGAUGACGAAAUUGAUUUGUCAAGAUUUGAUGAUGAUGGAAAUACUGGUAGCAUCAAUGAUAGUUUUUGUGACUUGAGUUGCAUUAAGCUUGAAGUUGGAAAUGAAAGUGAUUGAGAUGAUCACUAAGUAUUUUAUUUUGAGUUCCUAGCUUGGUAUUUUGAUAAAGACUUGUGUAUUUUGAUAAAGACUUGUGUAUUUAGAUAUUUGAACCUAUUGGCAUUGUAAUGCAAGCUGACCAGCAUAGCAUGGCAUGGUAGUGUAUCGGAAAAUACUUAAGAUGCAUUGCGUGGCACCAAAUCUGCCAUUUUUGAUAAUUUGAUAAUGUUAUUUUUUAUUUA